ensembl:lncRNA
GGGAAACCAAUGCAGGGGUGGGUUCAGGACAAGUCUCUGAAUGUCCUUGAGUGGCCCAGCCAGAGCCCAGACUUGAACCCAGAUCGAACAUCUCUGGAGAGACCUGAAAAUAGCUGUGCAGCGACACUCCCCAUCCAUCCUGACUUGAGUGGAUCCGUAGCUUGAGAGGAUCCGCAGAGAAGAAUGGGAGAAACUCCACAAAUGCAGGUGUGCCAAGCUUGUAGCAUCAUACCCAAGAAGACUUUAGGCUGUAAUCACUGCCAAAGGUGCUUCAACAAAGUAUUGAGGCCAGUGGUGCCUGGUCCCCUCGCUGAGGCUGGAUCCAGUGACG